CCACUCUUAAGGGCAGGAUGUCACAAUUACACAGUUUUGUCUCAUCAACAGUUCAGCACCACGUGGAGGAAGUUCCCCUCUACCAGGAAGCACAGAGGUGGCAGUUAUUUAUCCUCAGAGUGCAGCCUGCUCUACAAACACCUGUCCAGGAAUGUGUCCAAUCCCUGCUCCACUGUGCAGCUUUGUGUCCCAACAGCAUCUCUGUGCCGUCAACUCUGAUACACUACUGAGAAGGAAGUCCCUCAAAAUUGGUGGAGGGGAUAAAAAACAGAAAUGUACAAAAGUUAAACAGAUUCUCCAUUUUAUUUUCAAUAAAAAUUUAGAUCCUAGAUGGAUACAGCAUCUGUAAAACACAAAACCAGAUACAAUCAUGUUAGAUAUCUUGUUUUUAAACACAAGUUUUGCAGUUACAAUCUAGACCAUCAAUCUCUUCAACUGCUAUAAAAGCAACCCCCCAGUUUACAGAGAAGAGGUGUGACAAUGGAAAAGCCCAACAGCUGGUUCAGUGCCUUGCAGUAGCACUUUGCCAGCCCUCCUGAACACUGACAGCAACAGUUCCCACGGCUCUAGAUUCAGGAUUUAACUGUGCUGCUCCUACUGUGCUUUUUCUAAGGCACAGGAAAGAGGCAGAAAGCAAGGGGUUGCACCCCUCUGAUACUCCUUUUGACAUCAUCAGUAUGAAAAUACUGCAUCACAACUCUGGGUGAGUACUGUACCAAAAGAUACAAUCUCACUGAAGCCCUGUGGCUAAGACACUGACUGUGGAGCAGGUACCAGCAGACCCGUCAGGACAGCACUCCCCUCAGUUACAACAUUUGGGAGGUAGUAGAAAAAUUAACAGGUAGGAACUGGAGUAGAAGAGUGCAAAAAUACAUGGAAAAGAUCCAGGAAAAAGAAAUCAAGGUUGCUUUAGAAGGGACCUGAGUCCUGGAACUUGAAGAACCUUUCCAGACAACCUGAGCAAGCACACAGGCCCCUGGCAAUGAGGCAAAUCCCCUGAGCCCAAGAAGCCAGGAAUAACCUCUCCUGGCUCCAAAAGGAACACAAUCACUGAGCCACAUUGAACACGACACCAACAGAACAAAACCACAGUUCAAGUGUUCUCCUACGUGGAAUAAAAAGGCACCUUGAAAACUGCCAAUAAAUAUAUUGUUGCCAAAAUAAAUCCACUUACCACCCGAAUUCUGUGUCCAAUGGCCUUGGCAGGAAGGUUGGAGCGGAACUUGGCACGGACCAUGCCACUGUUCCCAUGGGCCCGUGUCACCUUCCCCCAGAUCACCCGUGUCCUGUUGGGCUUCCCCCCGGGAGUUACGGUGUUGCUGGGGAAGAGAGGAAAGGAACAGCUGAGCACAGCAGUCACAGCUCUGCUGUCACCAUCAGCGACAGUGUGGCCUCUUCAAGGCACCUCAAUGACUUUAAUCCACAGCCUUCUUUAACCAGACCAACUUCCACUUCCAUUUACCUGUGAAAUUUGCCAGGCCUGGAAUUUUCACUGUACCUUUCAAACAGGUAGGUAUUACAGCUUGUAAUUUGCCAGAAGCUCCACUGGAGAAGUUUUAACAAGUUACCAGGCUCAAAAAUUUGGAAAACUCUACUGCUAACGUGUUCAUACUGAAAAAUUUCAACUCCAAAGAAAAUACAACACCUUAUUUAUAAGAUUUCUCCACGCACAACAAAGGCAAGAGAAGAAUAAGCCACUAGAAUAGAUGACAUAAAGUGCUUCAGAUGAACAGUCAUGUACGAUACAUUAGAAAUUAUGGUGGUCAAGUUAACAAUUUAAUCAGUUUUAUUCAAGGCAAUUCUGAAUACUAACAACUACAUUCAAUAAAAUAAAAAUCAAAAGGAAGUGAAAGGUAAUAAGAUGCUGUUCUCAUGGCAUCUAUCUUCCAGUGGCAGCAGAGCAGAAGUGACAGAGAGUGCUCUGACAUGGCCACACAAAAGGCAGGAUACAAAUUACUCCAGGCUUCACAAAAUCAUUCUAUUGUUUAAGUAACUCAACAGCUCAUAGUGCUCAACUCCACACAAAUGCACCUCAUCUCAAUUUACUCUAUCAACCCACCUUCAGUUUUUGCCACUCUCAGGCAAAACUUGCUUCUCAUCCCAUCUGCUCUCUUAACACACCAUUUAUGAAGUGAAUGAUUAUUUCACAUAAUAUAAUUCUCUAAAUUAAAACAUAUCAUCCAACUAAAGCAAAAAUAACCAAGAACUUUUAAAACAAAACUAAGCCAGGAAACUGGCCCACAAAGCACUCCAUGGACACUCUAUUGAUAAAUCCAGCACAAUUAAUUUUUGUUUUAACAGCAGCUCUGUGAACAGCCUGCUCACAUCCUGGCAAGUGCAAAAGCUGACACAAGAGUUGGCUAAUUCAACAUAAGAAUAAAAAGUGACUUACUUUUUAGCUUUGUACACAUAGGCACACCUCUUGCCCAGGUAGAAGUCUGUCUCUUGGCGGGCAUAAACACCUUCAAUCUUCAGAAGAGCCGUGUGCUCCCGCUGGUUUCGGAGGCCACGUU